rnacentral:rRNA from 1 species
GUGAUCACCGAUGAUUGCCGGAAGUUGAUGAGCGUUUUUGCAAGACGAUUAUCAGCCCCACACAAAAUGCUUUCGUGUAAAGGGAGAAGCAUCAUGGAUGGAGUGAUGGCCCUCCAUGAGUUGCUAAACUACACGCAUGUUAAAAAGAGGGCUGGGGUGGUCCUUAAGCUUGAUUUUGAAGAAGCCUAUGACAAAGUAAACUGGGAGUUCCUGUUAGAAUGUCAUAAGCUGCGAGGUUUUGAUAGCAAAUGGUGUGGCUGGGUUAGACAAAUCCUUUACAAUUGUACGUUCAGUAUUAAACUCAACAAUACUGUUGGCCCCUACUUCCCAAGCGCGAAAGGGGUCCGCGGGGACCCUUAUUCACCUUUCCUUUUCAAUCUCGCUGCCAAGUGUCUCAGUAAGAUGAUUAAAAAUGCUCAAAAAGAGAAAUAA